rnacentral:rRNA from 1 species
CGACGUUGAUAGGCCGGGUGUGUAAGCGCAGCGAUGCGUUGAGCUAACCGGUACUAAUGAACCGUGAGGCUUAACCUUACAACGCCGAAGCUGUU